ensembl:lncRNA LINC01102 long intergenic non-protein coding RNA 1102
AUGCUAUCUCCUAAAGCAGUCAUUCUGAAACCCAAUCUGGGGACAGUGCAGACUAAAUAAAAUUUCAUUUUGAUUUGGCCUCCCGCUGCGAAUGGGACUGCUUUGUCUCAGCCGACAGAACCAGCAAGCCAGAAAGGGAAUGAAGACAUUUGGAGAAGAAGCGUUUACUGAAAGGAGAUUCCUGGGCUGGAGGAAAACCAUGAUCUACAGUUCAUGUUGACAGAUAUUGUAUUUUUGGUCCUAGAUCUGACUUUUGAAAUGACUUAUCACAAAUUCAAAUUUAGCAAUCAUGAGUGAAGUACCCACGAUGUGCUAAGCAUCUACCUCUGCAGAUAGAAGAACACUUACUGUUCCUGAGCAUGGGAGGGAAUAGAAGUUCCUGGGUCCUGGCCUCACCUCAUCAGGCACUGCCAAAUUUGACACCUCCUUCCUGUUCACGGCAGUCCUUUGCGAUAGGGUAUUAGAUGCCACCAAGUAGCUGCAUAACUCACCCAUUUGGUCAGAGCCUGGGUCUAAGCCAGGUCUGACAGACUCCAAAGCAAGCCCUGUUUACAGCAUGACUGGGAUCCAGUGGACGAGGGAACUGAGCUGUCAAAACUAAGUGACUUGAUUGAGGCCAUGCAGCUGGCGAGGGGAGGACCAGGAUCUGAACCCAACUGGGUCUCCCAAGCCUGGGCCACUGAACCAUUUCACCUCUUGGAAAAACUUAAUGGUCAGAGUGGCCCACCCAGUCCAUGGACAGCAUGGAGUGGUAUGGUGGAAGAGGAGGGAAGAAAACCUGUGUAUUGUAAGUCAUAUUCUUCUAUGGUGUGAAGGUUAACGUAAGUUUUAAGAAAGUUUUUUUUUUUAAUUUUAUUAUAUGAUCUUGCUCUAAAGGGAUGUAAAUUCAGAUGCUGAAUUGCACACAUCCUUUCUCUUUCAUAUUUUCAAUAUUGAACGUAAUUUCAAUAUUUAACAUAAAACAAUGAGUACAUUGUCUCCACCUCAUUGUUUUUGGGUGGUGUUUGUGAGGAGCCUGCGUUCUUUGGAAGGAAGACCUUUCAGAUGACCUGACCAGUCCUCCUCUUCAGAACCCGGAUGCUGGCGAAGCAGUUUGAAUUUUAUGCUUGUGAAAGGGCUCCGUUGAUGAUUUUGAUGUCUGCAGCUUUCCACCCGUAUGACCAGACACAUUCUCACCAGCUCCAUAUAUCAAGAUAAGGAGGGGAAACCUGGUAGCUUUUCCUUCUGUUAACUGCUGGCAUCAGCUGAGUGAUGCAGACAUUUCUCUAUUAAGAACUGAGCUGAGACUGAAGCUUCAUUUUGUAUGAGACUGUGCAGAGGUCGUCUAAAGUCUCUCCCAGGUGUGGUUAUUAAGAUCCUGGAUUUGAAACUGUGACCUACUGGUUUGCCAGAUGCCAAGAACAAAUGCUCUGAAAUUGAUUUGCCAAAAGACAUGAUGAGCUGCUCUAACUUGCCUGGGAAGAGUGGAAUAUUUAACCUGUGGCAUGGACUGACUCAAGGUAUACUGCUCUAAAUCCUACUGUAAGGCUUCCUCAUCAAGUUACCUACCUUCUAAUUGAGUCUCCUCAUCGGCUGAAAUGUUUACUCACAUGGAGUUAAUGACAGUGUCUGCAUUAGAGGAUUUAGUCAAGAUCAAAUUAGAUAUUGCAAUGGAGUGCUGAGGACAACAGCUGGCAUGCUUAAAAUGCUUGCUAAAUGUGUACAAGUGCACAAGUUCUGUUUUAUUAAUAAAAACCAACACCUAUGUCA